UACGGAGGGGGCUAGCGUUGUUCGGAAUUACUGGGCGUAAAGCGUACGUAGGCGGCUUUGUAAGUUAGAGGUGAAAGCCCGGAGCUCAACUCCGGAAUUGCCUUUAAGACUGCAUCGCUUGAAUCAUGGAGAGGUUAGUGGAAUUCCGAGUGUAGAGGUGAAAUUCGUAGAUAUUCGCAGGAACACCAGUGGCGAAGGCGGCUAACUGGUCCAUAACUGACGCUGAGGUGCGAAAGCGUGGGGAGCGAACAGG
rnacentral:rRNA from 1 species